UGCGGCCUACGGGAGGCAGCAGUGGGGAAUAUUGCACAAUGGGGGAAACCCUGAUGCAGCGAUGCCGCGUGGAGGAAGAAGGUUUUCGGAUUGUAAACUCCUUUUAUCAGGGACGAUAAUGACGGUACCUGAAGAAAAAGCUCCGGCUAACUACGUGCCAGCAGCCGCGGUAAUACGUAGGGGGCAAGCGUUAUCCGGAUUUACUGGGUGUAAAGGGAGCGUAGACGGCAGCGCAAGUCUGGAGUGAAAUGCCGGGGCUCAACCCCGGAACUGCUUUGGAAACUGUGCAGCUAGAGU
rnacentral:rRNA from 1 species